rnacentral:rRNA from 1 species
GGACUACCAGGGUAUCUAAUCCCGUUCGCUCCCCUGGCUUUCGCUCCUCAGCGUCAGAAUCAGGCCAGAAAGCCGCCUUCGCCACUGGUGUUCCUCCGGAUCUCUACGCAUUUCACCGCUACACCCGGAAUUCCGCUUUCCUCUCCUGUCCUCAAGAGCUGCCGUUUCCCAGAUGGACCACCCGUUGAGCAAGUGGAUUUACUCCGAGACUAACAACCCCGCCUACGAGCUCUUUACGCCCAGUAAUUCCGGACAACGCUCGCCCCCUACGUCUUACCGCGGCUGCUGGCAC